rnacentral:rRNA from 1 species
CAUGCAAGUCGAGCGAAUGGAUUAAGAGCUUGCUCUUAUGAAGUUAGCGGCGGACGGGUGAGUAACACGUGGGUAACCUGCCCAUAAGACUGGGAUAACUCCGGGAAACCGGGGCUAAUACCGGAUAACAUUUUGAACCGCAUGGUUCGAAAUUGAAAGGCGGCUUCGGCUGUCACUUAUGGAUGGACCCGCGUCGCAUUAGCUAGUUGGUGAGGUAACGGCUCACCAAGGCAACGAUGCGUAGCCGACCUGAGAGGGUGAUCGGCCACACUGGGACUGAGACACGGCCCAGACUCCUACGGGAGGCAGCAGUAGGGAAUCUUCCGCAAUGGACGAAAGUCUGACGGAGCAACGCCGCGUGAGUGAUGAAGGCUUUCGGGUCGUAAAACUCUGUUGUUAGGGAAGAACAAGUGCUAGUUGAAUAAGCUGGCACCUUGACGGUACCUAACCAGAAAGCCACGGCUAACUACGUGCCAGCAGCCGCGGUAAUACGUAGGUGGCAAGCGUUAUCCGGAAUUAUUGGGCGUAAAGCGCGCGCAGGUGGUUUCUUAAGUCUGAUGUGAAAGCCCACGGCUCAACCGUGGAGGGUCAUUGGAAACUGGGAGACUUGAGUGCAGAAGAGGAAAGUGGAAUUCCAUGUGUAGCGGUGAAAUGCGUAG